CCAGAAAGUCAGUCUGUGAUAUGCAUCCUACUUGCGCGCACGCAACAACUUUUGCAGAACUUCCCCAAAAGUCUAUGCGAAAACUUCAAAAUUUCUGUCGGUGUUUGGAUAGUUGUUGGUUUCCAGAAGCGACAUGAAACGCUGACAUCGGACGAUUCCACAAUCUGAUUCCACCAUAGUUGCGACCGCAACCAAGAAAGCCAAAAAUAAAAGGAUCUUCAACUUCACCCGCCAGUCGACUGUUGAAUAACACCCUGCCCCAGAAAUUGAAUCCCAAGGACACGAGCUAAAAAACCGAUGUUCUGGUGUGACAAAUCCCAUCAGGGUGGUUUCCAGAUUAUCCAUCAUGAUUAUGUCCAAUUCAAUCUACAACUAAAAAAUGUAUUUCUCGGAUGAACUGAAGACAGUUGGCAAAAAAAACA